rnacentral:lncRNA from 1 species
CUAGCCUGGGUGGCAGGGCCAGACCCUGUCUCAAAAAAGAAAGAAUCACACUUAGAAUUUGCAGAUUUAUCAUCCCUCCUGUCCUCUCUCUUCCCUUCUCCACCUUACACUACCUACUUUCUUUAUCUGUCAUUGUCAGUCUGUUUAUCUUUGUUUCUCAGCAAAUCCAGUUUAUUCAGAAUGAAAUUGUUUAAUGCUAAUCCGAGGUGGGGUUUUUUUUCAUUGUUUCCCCAACAAGAAAUAUGUCUUCUGUCAAAUGACACAAAUAGGAAAUGAUCUCAUGUGGUCUUUAUUUCUCUCCUUUAUGAAAAAGAAGUCAUUUUCUGAAAUCACCUUUUUAGUCAGUCUGAGGGAUCCUGACUGGUCUGUGGUAGCACACACAGCUGGUGUGGACCAUCAGCACAUGGGCUGCAAGGAAAAUCGCCCCGAUGUCCAGACAGUGGGGCCAGGUGGUUUCUGGGUUUUGGCCUAGCCCCUGCUCUUGGUCUGACUGAGCAAUACUUCCCCAGAUGUCCCUUGCCCUUCAGCCCACUGGCCCUGACCUUUGUUAGAAGUGGAUGCCCAGCAGCUUUCUGGUUGUCUGUGAAUGCCCGGUGAAGAUUCUGAACUGAUUCCUCACCAGACAGUUGCUCUGUUUGCACCACAAGGGGCUUUCCCACGUGUGAGCAGGCCUCCCACCAGCUUCAUUCCUCCAAACUCCCAAACCAGCAGCACUGUCUCCUAAGAUACAACAGGACAGGCUUUGAGGACAGAAACCCAGGGUCACGUUCCUGCUCCAUCACUUUCCAUCAGCAUGGUCUCGGGCAAGGGAAUCGUAAGCAGGUAACUGAUCAUCUGGAAACCUGGGGGACAAGAGGGAAGAAAUGACACCUAGGAUGCUCCAUCCUUUCCCUGCAUCCCUUUGUGUUCAGUUCAACAACUUGGUUCUCCUCCUGACCAGCCACUGUGCUUGGCUGAGGACACAAAGGUGAAGGAGACAGUCUAGUAUAAAACAUGACACAGACCAGACCCAAAGGGGAGGAAGAGGUCCUGUAGAAAGGUGAAGGGGCAUCAUUCACCAAGCCUCUCCAGCAUUAACCAGAGACUGCUGGAGGGCAGCGUGAGCCUACGGAAAAGACUCGACAUCCAGGGUUUGGACUUAAAGGCCCUAGUGUGGACUUCUUCAGUGCUCUGAUUCCUUGAAGAUUCUGUUGGCUUGUUCUCAAAACGUAAGCAACUUUCCAGUGCCAACAUAUUGAAUUCCUUGCCCACGGGGCAUUUCUCAUCAUCAUGGGUUGCAAUGUGUGCUGUUGUCUGUUGCUGCAUAAUAAACCAGUAAGUCUGCU